rnacentral:rRNA from 1 species
UACAGAGGGUGCAAGCGUUAAUCGGAAUUACUGGGCGUAAAGCGUGCGUAGACGGUAGCGUAAGUCGGGUGUGAAAGCCCCGGGCUCAACCUGGGGAAUUGCAUUCGAGACUGCUCUGCUAGGGUGCGGAAGAGGGAAGCGGAAUUUCCGGUGUAGCGGUGAAAUGCGUAGAUAUCGGAAGGAACACCAGUGGCGAAAGCGGCUUCCUGGUCCAGCACCGACGUCAGGCACGAAAGCGUGGGGAGCAAACAGG